GGCCGUACGAUGUCGACUUGGAGGUUGUGCCCUUGAGGCGUGGCUUCCGGAGCUAACGCGUUAAGUCGACCGCCUGGGGAGUACGGCCGCAAGGUUAAAACUCAAAUGAAUUGACGGGGGCCCGCACAAGCGGUGGAGCAUGUGGUUUAAUUCGAUGCAACGCGAAGAACCUUACCUGGUCUUGACAUCCACAGAACUUUCCAGAGAUGGAUUGGUGCCUUCGGGAACUGUGAGACAGGUGCUGCAUGGCUGUCGUCAGCUCGUGUUGUGAAAUGUUGGGUUAAGUCCCGCAACGAGCGCAACCCUUAUCCUUUGUUGCCAGCGGUCCGGCCGGGAACUCAAAGGAGACUGCCAGUGAUAAACUGGAGGAAGGUGGGGAUGACGUCAAGUCAUCAUGGCCCUUACGACCAGGGCUACACACGUGCUACAAUGGCGCAUACAAAGAGAAGCGACCUCGCGAGAGCAAGCGGACCUCAUAAAGUGCGUCGUAGUCCGGAUUGGAGUCUGCAACUCGACUCCAUGAAGUCGGAAUCGCUAGUAAUCGUGGAUCAGAAUGCCACGGUGAAUACGUUCCCGGGCCUUGUACACACCGCCCGUCACACCAUGGGAGUGGGUUGCAAAAGAAGUAGGUAGCUUAACCUUCGGGAGGGCGCUUACCACUUUGUGAUUCAUGACUGGGGUGAAGUCGAACGG
rnacentral:rRNA from 1 species